UACGUAGGGGCCGAGCGUUGUCCGGAGUUACUGGGCGUAAGGCGCGCGCAGGCGGCCACUUAAGCCCGGCGUGAAAGCCCCCGGCUCAACCGGGGAGGGUCGUCGGGGACUGGGUGGCUUGAGGACGGCAGGGGCUGGUGGAAUCCCCGGUGUAGUGGUGAAAUGCGUAGAGAUCGGGGGGAACACCCGUGGCGAAGGCGGCCAGCUGGGCCGGUCCUGACGCUGAGGCGCGAAGGCGUGGGGAGCGAACGGG
rnacentral:rRNA from 1 species